AAAGCAUGAUGAGGGAAUUUUCUAAGUAUUUUCUUAAAAUCUUCUCAACUCUCAUAAAUGGAUUCUCCAUUAAAUUGAGCAAAAUAAGUUGUAUCAUUUCUAAGUUU